AUAGGCGUCCUAAGUAUGGGCUGGGGGGACCAACUGCUCCAUUUCCCAUUUAAGGGCUCCCCUUUUCCCCGCCCCCAACAUGGCGUGGGGGUGGGGUCAAGGUCGAGUUUUCCCGCGCUUUGUUGCCACGCCCCCUGGAGGCGGGGGAAAGGGAGGAGUCGCUCGGAAAAUGAAUCUCUUUGAUGCUCUAAUAGCACUCACUGGCAGAAUUCGUCUGCAAGCCCAGUGUGCCACCUCGCGCACGCAGCCGCUCGUUAACGGCGUGGUUUUUUUUUUUUUUAAUUAAUUUUUUUGAGGCAGAGCCUCACUCUGCUGCCCAGGCGGGAGCACAGUGGCGCGAUCACGGCUGACUGCAGCCUCAACCUCCCAGGCUCCAGUGAUCCUCCCGCCUCAGCCUCCUGAGUAGCUGGGACUACAAGUGAGCGCCAAAUCGCCCGGCUAACUUUUUUAUUUUUUGAAGAGACAGGGUUUUGCCAUGUUGCCCAGGCUGGUCUCAAGCAAUCCUACAGACGUGAGCCACUACUCCCUACCUUGGCGAAGUUUUUUAUUUUUUAUUUUUUGAAACGGGGCCUCAUUCUGUCGCCCAGACUGGAGUGCAGUGGCGGGAUCUCGGCUCACGGCAACCUCCGCCUCCCAGGGUCAAGCAAUUCUGCCUCAGCCUUCCGACCAGCUGGGAUUACAGGAGUCCCAGGACACCGGAACCAGGACUCCCCGGCGCACCCGGAGAGUUUCCAAGCUCCUUUGAAGUAUGAAUCAGAACUUCUGGAUGGGAAUCCUGGAGCCACCACUUGCCCUAUGGUCGCAAUGGGCAAGUCGCUCAACCUCCCAGAUCCUGUUUUCUCAUGAGUAAAACGGGGAUUAUAAUACCCACCUGACAAUAUUAUUUUUGUGAGAAUUAAAUGAGUUUAGAAUGUAAA